rnacentral:lncRNA from 1 species
CUCCUGAUGUUACAGAAGAGGCUCUGUUUAAGAAAAGGCACAUAUUUGGCUCCUGCUUAUCUGGAGUAUUACUGCAAAAAGUGCUUUUCUUCCCCUGUGAGUUGCGAACCCCGUGCUGCUCUCCCCUGACAGGCACGUAGCCAGGCACACACCUAUCUCCCACCCCCUCGACCCACCCAAAACGCAGGACCAGGUCAUCUCUGUGUCAUUCUUUGCCUGUGCAAAGCAAAGCAGACCUCCAGGAGACCAGCAGCACUUUAUACAGGGAGAGAUUUCUGCCUCCACCACAAAAGGAGACAAGAACCAGCAUCGUCAGGAUGCUCGGGCAACCUCGGCACCCAGAGCACGGAGGAGGGCUGGCAGCUCCACCCCAGCCCGACGGCUCCUUGGCUUCCAGCCACGCCGUCCUCCAGAGAUGACCGUGGUGUGUCACAGACAAAAAAAAAAAAAGAGAAAGCCAGACGGCGUCACAACAAACGCAGGGCCCUCGGUGAUGCUCGUGGGGAUGCGCCCUGCCUAACCCUCCGUGAUUCACGUCCCUCCUGGCACAUAGAUGGGCUGGGAUGUCUCCAAAGCUAACACAAUCGUUCUGAAUAGCUGAAUGAAAUCAGCUUCAUCUCAGCACAAAGGCAGCACGAUAACUGUGCACAUGCCACCCAUGGGGCCAGCACCCUGGAACAACAGAAACCUCCGAGCUGAAAGCACAGGGACCUGGCUGCUCCCUGCAUGGGAGGGACACAUCUAAAUAUUUUAUCCAAUUCAUUUGGGUUCAUUGGUUUCUUUGGCCCUGAAAUACCAUCUUGAGGUGUGGGCAGCUUUAUAAAAGCGUUAGUCAUGCAGCAUCUUGGGGAGGAUCCCGCUGAGAGCUACCUUAUCCCUAUGGACCUUGGCUUCUUGAAGCAAGUGCAAGGUAUCUCAAGUGCAAGGUGUCCCUGCUCCUCCCUCUCUGGUGUGGGGAGGCGGGGACGUGGAUGUGCCACAUCCACUGGAAUAAAUGAUGUGAUAAGCUAAGAGAUGAGAACUCU